AAAGCAAAACAUUAUUUAGUCAUAGCAAAAGAACUUUUUCGUGUGGGUUGCAGGAGGAGAGCAGUUUCAAUGUGGAGGAGGGGACUCCCGCCUCUGACAUGGAUGAUUUGACAACAGUUACAGCACCAGAAGACUGGUGGAGAAGCUUCAUUCAAGCACCAAAUGGGCCGCAGUUCUGGGAUUAAGUCUCAGAAAUCUGGGAGCAUCUCAAUAACAAACAGUGUUCUGUUAGACCUGAGGUUUUGCUUAAAUGAAAAGCAAAUCCCAACUGCGCUCGAAGCAGUUUGUUCAACUGAAACAGUUUGUUGUCAUUGGCAGAAACAACAUGGAUGCAUCUGGCCCUUCAGACAAACCAACUAUGGUGCUUUAAGUUUGGUUGAGAUGAGAUUUCCAAACAAGAAGAGGCUGCAGUUUGAGGAAAAGCAGUUUUUCACCUGAUGCAUGAUGCUGUGGUCCCUGGGUCCUCCUGCAUGGAGAGCGCGAGGCCCGUUUGAUGUGUGAUGAAACAGAAUCCAGCGAGCCACUCGGGGGCUCGGGGAGAUCAGGAGGCAGAGGGGGCGACUGUGGGUACCAGGAAAGAUGAGAGCUAGAGCCGAGAGGGGAGAGCAGCAAAGACGGGAUGUUAGGAUCAGCAGACUGCCAACAGCCCUGCAGUUUCGGCUGCAGCUGUCAUCCCUGCCUUCCCCAGCUGUUGUACCUGCACCUCCCUGGUCAGCGUGCAGUCAGGAUCCGUCGCCCCGGAGUGGGGACUGUGGCCUGCUCUGUCAUCCUCGCAGAUGACGGCUGAUCUCAUAGGUGGGGAGGAGACAGCGCCGUAAUUGUUCUUCGGAGUGCCCCAAUUAUGCCAUAAACAGCCCCUCAGUGAUGAGGCUAAUGGCAAGAGUCCUCGUUUGCAUAGCAUUAUCUUAAUUAAGCCCGAGGCCUGGCAGCAAAACAAUCAUGAGCUAAUGUUACUGAUGGAUGGUGGCGAUGGUCCGGCAGCAACCAUUUACCCGACAGCUAUAUUAAUUAACAGCUCUCCUGUUACAUGGGCUUUAACAGGGAUGAAUAAGUUAACACGGUGACGAUGACGCCGGUGGUGACAGGCCGCUUCUGCCUACGUGUGGCCUUCUAAUAAAGAGACGCUAUUGUGUGAGGUGUGUGUCUGUGUGUGUGUGGAGAGGGAUGCUAAAGAAGACCUGGCAUCAGAUCUUAUUACCCAUUUCCUAGAGGAGGAAACGGAGCCAGCAGUAGUACCAGCUUUUAAAUAAAUCACCAUACAAAGCCUGUGCUAAUACUUUUAAUCGUGAAUUAAUUACGCACUUAUUGCAGGGCAAAAAAAAAAAAA